AAUGUUCCAUUGUAUAACACAAGAUUACAGGGAGCUAGCAGGAACUGAGGCAUCAAGAGGCAGUUGCAGGCAGAGGAGGAGAGGUCAAGGCUAAGCAUGAAGAAGGAAGUGUUGAAGGCACCUGUUGAAAGAAAUGGAGGAAGACUGCUCCAGUGGCAAAACAGAAAAGUUGUAUGGUCGAGGAAAAAAUGAGAAUGAUAUCCUCAGAGACAGAGGGAACAUGAGGCUACCCUCUGAAACAUCUCAGAAAUCCCAG
rnacentral:lncRNA from 12 species